rnacentral:rRNA from 1 species
UACGUAGGUGGCGAGCGUUGUCCGGAUUUACUGGGCGUAAAGGGAGCGUAGGCGGAUUUUUAAGUGAGAUGUGAAAUACUCGGGCUCAACUUGAGUGCUGCAUUUCAAACUGGAAGUCUAGAGUGCAGGAGAGGAGUAUGGAAUUCCUAGUGUAGCGGUGAAAUGCGUAGAGAUUAGGAAGAACACCAGUGGCGAAGGCGAUUCUCUGGACUGUAACUGACGCUGAGGCUCGAAAGCGUGGGGAGCAAACAGG